UCCGCGAUAGCUCAACGGUAGAGCAGCCGGCUGUUAACCGGCGGGUUGUAGGUUCAAAUCCUACUCGCGGAGCUA
rnacentral:tRNA from 1 species